rnacentral:rRNA from 1 species
UACAGAGGGGCAAGCGUUGUUCGGAAUUACUGGGCGUAAAGGGCGCGUAGGCGGCCUGUUAAGUCGAACGUGAAAUCCCCGGGCUCAACCCGGGAACUGCGUCCGAUACUGGAUGGCUUGAAUUCGGGAGAGGGAUGCAGAAUUCCAGGUGUAGCGGUGAAAUGCGUAGAUAUCUGGAGGAAUACCGGUGGCGAAGGCGGCAUCCUGGACCGACAUUGACGCUGAGGAGCGAAAAGCUAGGGGAGCAAACGGG